rnacentral:hammerhead_ribozyme from 1 species
AUAUUACUGAUGAGUCCCAACGAGGACGAAACACUUGUCCAAUAG